rnacentral:rRNA from 1 species
UUACAAUGGAGAGUUUGAUCCUGGCUCAGGAUGAACGCUAGCGGCAGGCCUAAUACAUGCAAGUCGAGGGGCAGCGCGGUAGCAAUACUGGCGGCGACCGGCAAACGGGUGCGGAACACGUACGCAACCUUCCUCUAAGCGGGAGAUAGCCCGGAGAAAUCCGGAUUAAUACCCCAUAGGAUUGUGGAUUGGCAUCAAUCA